rnacentral:rRNA from 1 species
GUUUGAUCAUGGCUCAGAUUGAACGCUGGCGGCAGGCCUAACACAUGCAAGUCGAACGGUAACAGGAAGAAGCUUGCUUCUUUGCUGACGAGUGGCGGACGGGUGAGUAAUGUCUGGGAAACUGCCUGAUGGAGGGGGAUAACUACUGGAAACGGUAGCUAAUACCGCAUAACGUCGCAAGACCAAAGAGGGGGACCUUCGGGCCUCUUGCCAUCGGAUGUGCCCAGAUGGGAUUAGCUUGUUGGUGGGGUAACGGCUCACCAAGGCGACGAUCCCUAGCUGGUCUGAGAGGAUGACCAGCCACACUGGAACUGAGACACGGUCCAGACUCCUACGGGAGGCAGCAGUGGGGAAUAUUGCACAAUGGGCGCAAGCCUGAUGCAGCCAUGCCGCGUGUAUGAAGAAGGCCUUCGGGUUGUAAAGUACUUUCAGCGGGGAGGAAGGGAGUAAAGUUAAUACCUUUGCUCAUUGACGUUACCCGCAGAAGAAGCACCGGCUAACUCCGUGCCAGCAGCCGCGGUAAUACGGAGGGUGCAAGCGUUAAUCGGAAUUACUGGGCGUAAAGCGCACGCAGGCGGUUUGUUAAGUCAGAUGUGAAAUCCCCGGGCUCAACCUGGGAACUGCAUCUGAUACUGGCAAGCUUGAGUCUCGUAGAGGGGGGUAGAAUUCCAGGUGUAGCGGUGAAAUGCGUAGAGAUCUGGAGGAAUACCGGUGGCGAAGGCGGCCCCCUGGACGAAGACUGACGCUCAGGUGCGAAAGCGUGGGGAGCAAACAGGAUUAGAUACCCUGGUAGUCCACGCCGUAAACGAUGUCGACUUGGAGGUUGUGCCCUUGAGGCGUGGCUUCCGGAGCUAACGCGUUAAGUCGACCGCCUGGGGAGUACGGCCGCAAGGUUAAAACUCAAAUGAAUUGACGGGGGCCCGCACAAGCGGUGGAGCAUGUGGUUUAAUUCGAUGCAACGCGAAGAACCUUACCUGGUCUUGACAUCCACAGAACUUUCCAGAGAUGGAUUGGUGCCUUCGGGAACUGUGAGACAGGUGCUGCAUGGCUGUCGUCAGCUCGUGUUGUGAAAUGUUGGGUUAAGUCCCGCAACGAGCGCAACCCUUAUCCUUUGUUGCCAGCGGUCCGGCCGGGAACUCAAAGGAGACUGCCAGUGAUAAACUGGAGGAAGGUGGGGAUGACGUCAAGUCAUCAUGGCCCUUACGACCAGGGCUACACACGUGCUACAAUGGCGCAUACAAAGAGAAGCGACCUCGCGAGAGCAAGCGGACCUCAUAAAGUGCGUCGUAGUCCGGAUUGGAGUCUGCAACUCGACUCCAUGAAGUCGGAAUCGCUAGUAAUCGUGGAUCAGAAUGCCACGGUGAAUACGUUCCCGGGCCUUGUACACACCGCCCGUCACACCAUGGGAGUGGGUUGCAAAAGAAGUAGGUAGCUUAACCUUCGGGAGGGCGCUUACCACUUUGUGAUUCAUGACUGGGGUGAAGUCGUAACAAGGUAACCGUAGGGGAACCUGCGGUUGGAUCACCU